rnacentral:rRNA from 1 species
GUCCACGCCGUAAACGAUGGAUACUAGCUGUUGGAAGCAAUUUCAGUGGCUAAGCGAAAGUGAUAAGUAUCCCACCUGGGGAGUACGUUCGCAAGAAUGAAACUCAAAAGGAAUUGACGGGGCCCGCACAAGCGGUGGAGCAUGUGGUUUAAUUCGAUGAUACGCGAGGAACCUUACCAAGGCUUAAAUGUAGUUUGACCGAUUUGGAAACAGAUCUUUCGCAAGACAAAUUACAAGGUGCUGCAUGGUUGUCGU